rnacentral:rRNA from 1 species
CCUACGGGCGGCUUCAGUGGGGAAUAUUGGACAAUGGGGGCAACCCUGAUCCAGCCAUGCCGCGUGUGUGAAGAAGGCCCUCGGGUUGUAAAGCACUUUCAGUGAGGAAGAACGCCUGGUGGUUAAUACCCAUCAGGAAAGACAUCACUCACAGAAGAAGCACCGGCUAACUCCGUGCCAGCAGCCGCGGUAAUACGGAGGGUGCGAGCGUUAAUCGGAAUUACUGGGCGUAAAGCGCGCGUAGGUGGCUUGAUAAGCCGGUUGUGAAAGCCCCGGGCUCAACCUGGGAACGGCAUCCGGAACUGUCAAGCUAGAGUGCAGGAGAGGAAGGUAGAAUUCCCGGUGUAGCGGUGAAAUGCGUAGAGAUCGGGAGGAAUACCAGUGGCGAAGGCGGCCUUCUGGACUGACACUGACACUGAGGUGCGAAAGCGUGGGUAGCAAACAGGAUUAGAUACCCUUGUAGUC